rnacentral:rRNA from 1 species
UACAGAGGGUGCGAGCGUUAAUCGGAAUUACUGGGCGUAAAGCGCACGUAGGCGGCUUGGUAUGUCGGGUGUGAAAUCCCCGGGCUCAACCUGGGAACUGCAUCCGAAACUGCCUUGCUAGAGUAUGGGAGAGGGAAGUGGAACUGCGAGUGUAGAGGUGAAAUUCGUAGAUAUUCGCAAGAACACCAGUGGCGAAGGCGGCUCACUGGCCCGGUACUGACGCUGAGGUGCGAAAGCGUGGGGAGCAAACAGG